rnacentral:rRNA from 1 species
UAAGAGAUGAGGUGUAAGGAGUUUCGUGUUGAGCAGAUGCACGGCCUAAGUAUUAUCGAGUGAGUUCUCAGAGAAGGUGAAAAGCCUGUUUGGUUGUGUCUGUCUGCUGAAUCGAAACUCUUACGAGUCUAGUUGUUUGAGAGUACAACUUAAAGCUGGUGGUAAAUUUCAUCAAAGGCUAAAUAUAUGAGGGGACUAAUAGCGAACAAGUACCAUGAGGGAAAGUUGAAAAGAACUCUGACGAGAGAGUUCAACAGUGCGUGAAACCAUAUUGAGUAAAACAGAUAACUGUGUUGUUAUGCGGUGUGUCUAUCAACAAUACACUGGGUGCUGCGAUUCGGCGAGUGUGAGCUGUUUUUUCAGACGAUCGCUCGCUGUUAGCAAUGCUCGGGGUUCUGUGUACUAGUGCACACCCAAUCAUUGAGAAACUAUUCUACUGCGGUAUCGGUGCACAUCAGUCCGCGCCUAGCGUGAAGUUGUGUACUGGACUUUGCUAGUGGCGUAGUUUAGCUGUGUGGCAGCUGUGGGAUGCGUUUGUUCAAUGUGCCUGCUUUGUCUGCCAAAUCGGUUUAUUCCUUUUUGCGGUGAGUAUGGUACAGUAGGCGAGCGUCCCGUCAUCAAUGGUUGACAUUAGUUAUUUGACCCGUCUUGAAACACGGACCAAGGAGUUCAAAUGGCACGCGAGUCAUUGGGUUUAAUCACCCGAAGGCGAAGUGAAAUGCAAACGUAUCGUUACUCGUGGCUCUGCUGCGAUUCAGCGAUAAGCUACUCAUGCUUU